ensembl:snRNA U6 U6 spliceosomal RNA
GGGCUCGCUUUGGCAGCACAUAUACUAAAAUUAGAACCAUACAAGGAAGAUUAGCAUGGCGCCUGUACAAGGAUGACAUGCAAAUUCACGAAGCAUUCAGAUUCCAA